CUCUCUUGGCUCAGGUCAGUCUCAGACCAGAACAUCUGCGCUGAAGAAGGAGGGAACUACCAGUAACCCUCAGCUGCCCUAGACAUUGCUCAUGAGCGGGUUUGUUUGGCUGACUCUGCAGCGUGAGACAUGGUUGGGCAUAGGAGCUGUAUGAGUCUGUUUCCACGCUGCUGAUAAAGACAUACCUGAGACUGGGCAAUUUACAAAGGAAAGAGGUUUAAGGGACUUACAGUUCCACAUGGCUGGGAGGCCUCACAAUCAUGGCUGAAGGUGAAAGGCAUGUCUCACGUGGCAGCAGACAAGAGAAGAGGGUUUGUGCAGCGAAACUCUCCUUUUUAAAACCAUCAGAUCCCAUGAGACGUAUUCACUAUCACGAGAACAACACAGGUACAUGAACCUCUAACCACAAGUGGAGUGCUACCAUUUCUCCCAACAAGAAGUUCACGGUUUUCUCUUUGAAAUACAAAAAAUGGGGGACUUUGUGAAGC
rnacentral:lncRNA from 10 species